GAGACUGAGCGGAGAAAAUACAGUAAUUGGAUAAAGACAACAAUAACACUUAAGCAACUAAAACAAUUGAAGCCAUCGAGGUGUUGAUGGUGAUUCUUAAAUAUCACAGAGCAAAUGAUAGAAUGCAAUAGAAACAAAGACACAAGAAAAAAUUAGCUACUUUUAUAUUUUGAAUUCUUAAAUUUUGGAAUGAAUCAAAUCUAGCCAAAUCGAGUCUUAAUCUAUGACCAAUUUUAGUUAACAGUCGACCGUUCUACCAUUAAGCUACUGAGGAAUAUUUGAAGAUUAGAUCUUAAGCCACGAACAAAUUUAGAUCAUAUAUUGUUAACAAAAAGUGAAGCAGUUUAGUUAUAUGCUCUUUUUCGGAAGAAAUCUAUUUAAAAGGAGAGUUUGAUUUCACAAUUAGAGAUGUCAAACUGGGUACUGGCCCGCGGGUCUGGUCCAUAAGGGUUUGGUGCGGGGCUGGUUUGGGUCUAGGAAUUCUUGACCCGCAAAAAGCGGGUUUUGCCGGAUGGGGCUUGCACGGUACCGGGUUUAAAGCGGGAUGGCCCGUAACAACCGCGGGAAGGCCCAGAUGAACCGCUAGACGCUUCAGUUGCUUUCGUCACCUGAAAACAAAACGAAAGAGAGAGUGGGACGAGAUGGAGCUCCGACGAGGCCGUGGGAAGAGAUGACUAUGAUGGCCAUGGGAAGAGAUGGAGCUCCGACGAUGACCGUUCGAUGUCCGACAGGCGACAAUGCUUCUGGUGACCACAUCGUGUUCAAUCUGCAGCAGAGGAGCUUCUCUUCCUUUUCGUUCCACCAAAAGUGAUCAGAGCAACUGUCCCUAAGCUGCUUCUUGAUUAUGUCUUCUCUGCUUCAUCAAGCCACCACCGGUGCUUCUCUGCAUUAUCAAGCCACCACCGGAGCUUCUCUGCUUCAUCAAGCCACCACCGGUGCUUCUCUGCUUCAUCAAGCCACCACCGGAGCUUCUCUGCUUCAUCAAGCCUCCACCGGAGCUUCUCUGAUGCAACGGAUCCAAGUCCAGAACCUCCUGAAGCAAAAAUUAACUGAGAGGAAAUUUGUUGAGAGGCUUGUCCCAUCUUCAUCAGCUUUUUCUUUGCUAUCAGGAACAUGGCUGAGAAAGUACCGUCAUUUAAAACCGGUGGAACUCUUUGGUUUACUGAUCUCACCACUGCAGAUACUACAUAUAUCUUGCCACUUCUCACCGCCAUCACUUUCAUAAUUAUGGUGGAGUCGAACAUGCAGGAAGGUAUGGAAGGGAAUCCAGUAGCUGGAACUAUGAAGAAAUUCUCAAGAAUCAUUGCCUUUCUCUCUCUUCCAAUUCUGAUGGGCAUUGAAAAGGAAGAGGUAGACAGUGUAAUAUCCGAUAUCCCGCGGGAUGGCCCGCGAAGGCCUACAAAGAAUGCGGUAUGGGAUUGGGCAGCCUACAGGCCCGCCGUGUCCCGCCCGAAGACAAACCCGCAGCGGUCCGGGACAGGACGGGAGAACCCAAUUGACAUCUCUAUCCACAAUGUAGGUGUUCAAAAAAAAAAAAUUCCACAAUGUCUUUGUUGUGCCAUCUUUAUAUUCUACUAGAUAUGAACCCGUGCGUUGUAACAGGUUUUGUUUGAUAUUUUAAUUUAAUAAAGAAAUAAAAGUAAGAAAUCAUUUUAUUAUA